CUAGUAUUUUACCCACCGGUCCUUCAAACACUCAUAGACUCACAUGUGGUACUGGGGGUGACCUGCACGGUGUGUUAGGUAAUUUGCAGUGCGACUCUUACGUCACAUAUUCCAUCACGGUUGUCCUAGCUCACAAAUCUUUUCUUUCACAGAAGCCACUUGACCAUAAGUACAGGUAUUUUCGCCGUGUUCCUGUCCAAGAGGCAGAUCACAACUUUCAUGUGGGGCUGCAGCUGUGCUCCAGUGGCCACCAGAGGUUCAACAAACUCAUCUGGAUCCACCACUCUUGUCACAUCACUUACAGAUCGACUGGUGAGACUGCAGUGAGUGCUUUUGAUAUUGACAAGAUGUACACCCCCUUGUUCUUCGCCAGAGUGAGAAGCUACACGGCGUUCUCCGAGAGGCCUCUGUAGAGCCUCGCCAGCGUCACUGCUGCAUGAGCAGAAGCAUAGAGUGCCAGAAUACCUAAGUUAUAUGUACAUAUACAUACGUGUGUAUAUACAUGCAUAGAUACAUACAUGGAGUUGGAACUUACUUUAUGUUGUUGGAAUUCCUUUAAGAAGAGUAUAAAUUAUUUUUUUUAUUUAAAAGGAUAGUUGAUUCCUGGGGUACUUUGUUUUGAAAUUAGAAGUUGUUAAGAACACUUUCGUUGUAAUAAACCUUACUGUAGAGUUUAAAUCAUGUUUUCCAGCUGGUUUCUGAGCAGAUGUGUCUCGCACUGCCUUGUGCCUGAGCAUCCUCACACUCACAUACGUCAGGGACACGCUGGACAGUAGCUAUUCCCGCAUGAGCUAGUGUCUCUGCACCACACUCAAACUGUGAAGCCUGUUCUGGAGUCGUUGAAACUGUUCAAUAAAGAUUAUA
rnacentral:lncRNA from 1 species